GAUGAAGAACGCAGCGAAAUGCGAUAAGUAAUGUGAAUUGCAGAAUUCAGUGAAUCAUCGAAUCUUUGAACGCACCUUGCGCCCUUUGGCCAUUCCGAAGGGCAUGCCUGUUUGAGUAUCAUGAACACCUCAACUCUUCAUGGUUUUCCAUGAUGAGCUUGGACUUUGGGGGCCUUGCUGGCCUGUGGGUCGGCUCCUCUCAAAUGAAUCAGCUUGCCGGUUUUUGGUGGGCAUCACAGGUGUGAUAACUAUCUACGCUUGUGGUUUUCCACCAGGGUAACCUUCAGCAGUGGAGGUUCACUGGAGCUUAUAAAUGUCUCUCCCCAGUGAAGACAGCCUUUGAACGUUCGAUCUCAAAUCAGGUAGGACUACCCGCUGAACUUAAGCAUAUCAAUAAGCGGAGGA
rnacentral:misc_RNA from 1 species